rnacentral:misc_RNA from 1 species
AGACCUUUUUAUGCUUACAAGUUUGAGAUUCUUGAGAGAUUAGUCAAGGGUCGUGUUUAUGAAAAUGAUAGCAUAUGGUUGGGUGUUUUGCGAUAUCAACAAAGAAGGGCACGUGUGGGUUACGACAACAAUAAUGGAAGGGAAUGGAAAACAGACGAGGCAGGGGGCAGUUAAGGGUUUAGGAGGUGCUUGGGCCGGCAAGGAGAAUCGAGAGGGAGGCGAUGAUAUGGA